rnacentral:rRNA from 1 species
AGAUACCCUGGUAGUCCACGCCCUAAACGAUGUCUACUAGUUGUCGGGUCUUAAUUGACUUGGUAACGCAGCUAACGCGUGAAGUAGACCGCCUGGGGAGUACGGUCGCAAGAUUAAAACUCAAAGGAAUUGACGGGGACCCGCACAAGCGGUGGAUGAUGUGGAUUAAUUCGAUGCAACGCGAAAAACCUUACCUACCCUUGACAUGGCUGGAAUCCUUGAGAGAUCAGGGAGUGCUCGAAAGAGAGCCAGUACACAGGUGCUGCAUGGCUGUCGUCAGCUCGUGUCGUGAGAUGUUGGGUUAAGUCCCGCAACGAGCGCAACCCUUGUCAUUAGUUGCUACGAAAGGGCACUCUAAUGAGACUGCCGGUGACAAACCGGAGGAAGGUGGGGAUGACGUCAAGUCCUCAUGGCCCUUAUGGGUAGGGCUUCACACGUCAUACAAUGGUACAUACAGAGCGCCGCCAACCCGCGAGGGGGAGCUAAUCGCAGAAAGUGUAUCGUAGUCCGGAUUGUAGUCUGCAACUCGACUGCAUGAAGUUGGAAUCGCUAGUAAUCGCGGAUCAGCAUGUCGCGGUGAAUACGUUCCCGGGUCUUGUACACACCGCCCGUCACACCAUGGGAGCGGGUUUUACCAGAAGUAGGUAGCUUAACCGCAAGGAGGGCGCUUACCACGGUAGGAUUCGUGACUGGGGUG